UACGGAGGGUGCAAGCGUUGUUCGGAAUUAUUGGGCGUAAAGGGCUGGUAGGCGGUCUCAUUUGUCUGGGGUGAAAUCCUUGAGCUUAACUCAAGAAGUGCCUCAGAAACGGUGAGACUAGAGUUCUGGAGAGGGUCGUGGAAUUCCCGGUGUAGCGGUGAAAUGCGUAGAGAUCGGGAGGAACACCAGAGGCGAAGGCGGCGCCCUGGGCAGAUACUGACACUAAACUACGAAAGCGUGGGGAGCAAACAGG
rnacentral:rRNA from 1 species